GACGAACGCUGGCGGCGUGCUUAACACAUGCAAGUCGAACGGAAAGGCCCUGCUUUUGUGGGGUGCUCGAGUGGCGAACGGGUGAGUAACACGUGAGUAACCUGCCUGUGACUUUGGGAUAACUUCAGGAAACUGGGGCUAAUACCGGAUAGGAGCUCCUGCUGCAUGGUGGGGGUGGGAAAGGUUCGGCGGUGGGGGAUGGGCUCGCGGCUUAUCAGCUUGUUGGUGGGGUAGUGGCUUACCAAGGCUUUGACGGGUAGCCGGCCUGAGAGGGUGACCGGCCACAUUGGGACUGAGAUACGGCCCAGACUCCUACGGGAGGCAGCAGUGGGGAAUAUUGCACAAUGGGCGGAAGCCUGAUGCAGCAACGCCGCGUGCGGGAUGACGGCCUUCGGGUUGUAAACCUCUGUCGCCUGUGACGAAGCGAGAGUGACGGUAAUGGGUAAGGAAGCGCCGGCUAACUACGUG
rnacentral:rRNA from 1 species